rnacentral:rRNA from 1 species
CGCGUAGGUGGUUUGAUAAGGGUGUGGUGAAAGCCCGGGGCUCAACCCCGGGUCUGCCGUGCCGACUGUCAAACUCGAGGGCUGUAGAGGCAGACGGAAUUCCGGGUGUAGCGGUGGAAUGCGUAGAGAUCCGGAGGAAGACCGGUGGCGAAGGCGGUCUGCUGGGCAGUUUCUGACACUGAUGCGCGACAGCGUGGGGAGCAAACA